rnacentral:rRNA from 1 species
UAACGGCCCACCAAGGCAAUGAUCGGUAGCUGGUCUGAGAGGACGAUCAGCCACACUGGGAUUGAGAACGGCCCAGACUCCUACGGGGGGCAGCAGUGAGGAAUUUUCCGCAAUGGACGAAAGUCUGACGGAGCAACGCCGCGUGCAGGAGGACGCUUUUCGGAGUGUAAACUGCUUUUCUCAGGGAAGAGAGCGGACGGUACCUGGGGAAGAAGCCCCGGCUAACUACGUGCCAGCAGCCGCGGUAAUACGUAGGGGGCGAGCGUUGUCCGGAGUUACUGGGCGUAAAGGGCAUGCAGGCGGUCGUACGCGUUUUGUGUGACAGCGGGUGGCUUAACUACCCGAGUAUGCGAAAGACGGUACGACUUGAGGGCUCGAGAGGGACACGGAAUUCCGGGUGGAGUGGUGAAAUG